AUAAAAUUGAAAUACAGAAAAGCAAGCAAGCAAGCAAAGAAAGAGAAACAGAUGUAGUAUAUCAGUGAAAGAAAGUAGUGAGGCAUUGAUUAUACAGAGAGUAGUGAAAUAAAUCCCAAGCAAAUUACAUUGAAAGGAAAACUGGUUUUGAAAGUAAUAUUAUUUAAGCAAGCAAAUUCAUUCAGGUUGAACAAGGGAAACAAUGGAUUGAUGAUGGUCCUGACUCAAUGGUCCCCAGCCUUCACCUGCGAAAGUAAUGUAAUUAAGUGUAAGUGAAUGAAUAGUACAAAAAGACACAGGAUGCAUUGUUAUAAUUUAAUUUAUGAAAACGAGUCCCGGUGCAACCAAUUGACCAAGGCAAAAAAAAUUGUUCCCCAAAAUCUCUAUUGUUUCUAAACAAAUUAAACUACACAGACAGACAUAUAUAUAACAAGCAACCAUAUGCAAUUGAAUUGAAUCCCUAGCAGUAAUAAAAUGUUAUUUGGGAAUGGAAUAAUAAUAAUAAUAAAAGGGGGCGGGCGUAGGAUGGAUGGAUGGAAUUGAAAACCCUAAGAUUAAGAAUAAGAAUACAUACAUGGUGAUGAGAAUGAGAAGAGGAAUUGAUCUUGUUGUAGACUUGUUCAGCAACAAGGUAGACACCAAAAGCGACAAGAGCGAUGCCGAGACCAGGAGUGGCAUGACGCAUCUGAUUGCCAAGCAUCGGAUGCUUCCUCCAUUCAUCUCUCCUCUUGAAGAACUCUGCUGUAUUCUUUCCUGCUCCCAUUUCUUCCGAUUGAUC
rnacentral:lncRNA from 1 species